UUACCCAUCAGAAUCAGACUGCUUACAGAAACAUUCUGUGACCUAUGGGUAACAUAGGCUAUUCUGGGUCAAGAUCAUCCUAGAGGGUGGUAAUGGAAAUAUCUGUAAUUAAUUCUUCAAAAUUUCAUUGAAAUUCAAAAUGGUAUUAUAACGGUAUUAAUUGCAUUGGUAUGAUGUCAUUGUGAUGUAAUAAUUGAUGUCAAAAAAUAUUCUGGGACAAUGCCUGGAUAUGUUCAAAAAAAAGUCAAUGGAUAAAUUCAUAAGUAUGUAGCAAUUUCUCAUGACUCUGCAUGUAACAUAGGUUAUCCUCAGUUGAAAUCAUCCUAGGGACAGAACAAUUUGGGAUUGCAACAAAAAUACAUAUUUAAAUUCUUCAAUUUUGUUUGAAUUUGGGGUGAUGUCAUAAACAAUAGUUGAUUGAUGAUAUCACAAUGGCAUAACAUUAGUGUGAUGUCACUCCAUCAAGAUAAUGACAUGCUAGCUGAAUCAACUUAAAAUUGAAUGCAAAAAAACCAAUGGGUUUCAAAUAUUAUAAUAAAUGAAUUAUAUGAUGAAAUGAUACUUCUUCAUAGUUCAUUAUCAAUUUAUUAUCCGUAAAGUUUACAAAUUCAUUUAAACUAAUUUAAAAUUUAUUUAUUAUUAUCUAGAAUGGCCAACAUCAUGUUGGUGUAAGAAUUAUCACAUAAACUGUAUUAUGUGCCCGAAAUUCCCGACAAUGCUGAAUAUCUUGGCUGAAAAUAUCGCUGGCAAAAAUAGUAAAAUAGUUCCUUUCAGAUUAGACAUAUUAAUUCGUACUAACCUAAUCUAUAAAUUCUCUUACACUAAUUUAAAAUUUAUUAUUAGUUAUUCAGAGUACCAACGUCAUGUGGCGAAAGAAUUGUCGUAUAGCCUACACUAUAUCAUAUCCCAUCAAAAACAUUUUAAGUGUGAAGGGUGUAGCCGGGUCUCGUG
rnacentral:lncRNA from 1 species